GGAGUCGAAAUCGACUAACCGGCCCCGUUAGAGGGCCCCAGUGAGAUUGGUGGGCUGCAGUCACAUGGUAUACGCAACCGUCUCGUCUGAUGAUGAUGCACGUAAUCGACGUCCGAACAGGAAACGUUUCGUGGAAUGUUUUUAAAAACAGAAGGAACGUGCUGUACCUUUUAACAAACAAUAUUUUGUUAGCUUUGAUGAUCGGUCCUGUGUCGUGACUUUUGCUUUGCUAAGACAACGGUCCAAACCAGCGAUGGAUUAUUGAAAUAUAAUGUGGCCUCUUCAUUUUCAACUGGGAAGGACCUGCAUGGACUUGAGAAUACAGAGCCAAUCGGGCUGUGGUGUUGGAUGGCACCACACUUGGUUAUCAUCGCCGGUUUGCCAAGCAGCCCCAGGCUACACCGCCCACUCAGGACCAAGGGAAAGAAGG